rnacentral:misc_RNA from 1 species
GAGGAUGUUGAUUUGGAGAGGCAGUAUAAGCUUAUUCUUAGAAGCACAACAGGGCCGAUAGAUUUGUUUCUCUUGAGCAAACAGGGUAGGCAGCAUGAGGACAUAACCAUCAAACAUGACAAGUCCAUGGAUUCAGUGUCUGCUGCAAAAAAGAUGGAUGAUGCUUACCCAUCCCCAGCACAUCCUUGCUCUUUAGAUUCAACAGACUCAAAGCUCUCGGGUGUCCAUAAAAUAG